rnacentral:rRNA from 1 species
UACGGGGGGAGCAAGCGUUGUUCGGAUUUACUGGGCGUAAAGGGCGCGUAGGCGGUCACGACAAGUCAGUUGUGAAAUCUCCGGGCUUAACUCGGAACGGUCAACUGAUACUGUCGGACUAGAGUGCAGAAGGGGCAACUGGAAUUCUCGGUGUAGCGGUGAAAUGCGUAGAUAUCGGAAGGAACAUCAGUGGCGAAAGCGGCUUCCUGGACCAGCACCGACGUUCAGGCACGAAAGCGUGGGGAGCAAACAGG